CACGUAGUUAGCCGGGGCUUCUUAAUCAGGUACCGUCAUUUUCUUCCCUGCUGAUAGAGCUUUACAUACCGAAAUACUUCUUCACUCACGCGGCGUCGCUGCAUCAGGGUUUCCCCCAUUGUGCAAUAUUCCCCACUGCUGCCUCCCGCAGGAGUCUGGGCCGUGUCUCAGUCCCAAUGUGGCCGUUCACCCCUCACGACGGCCGUACU
rnacentral:rRNA from 1 species